rfam:Shewanella benthica KT99 1099576005622, whole genome shotgun sequence.
UAUUCUCUGCGUAGGGUACAGAGGUUAAGAUGUUCUAUCUUUCAAACCUUUUUAGUUCAUUUUUUAAAUGAGCAGCCAAAUUAUGGCGCCUCAGUAAUUUAUUUGCUGAGGCUUUUUUUC